GCGAACGGGUGAGUAAUAUAUCGGAACGUGCCCAGUUAGUGGGGGAUAGCCCGGCGAAAGCCGGAUUAAUACCGCAUACGACCUACGGGUGAAAGCGGGGGAUCGCAAGACCUCGCGCUAUUGGAGCGGCCGAUAUCAGAUUAGGUAGUUGGUGGGGUAAAGGCCUACCAAGCCUUCGAUCUGUAGCUGGUCUGAGAGGACGACCAGCCACACUGGGACUGAGACACGGCCCAGACUCCUACGGGAGGCAGCAGUGGGGAAUUUUGGACAAUGGGCGCAAGCCUGAUCCAGCCAUGCCGCGUGCGGGAAGAAGGCCUUCGGGUUGUAAACCGCUUUUGUCA
rnacentral:rRNA from 1 species